rnacentral:rRNA from 1 species
UACAGAGGUGCCGAGCGUUAGGCGGAAUCACUGGGCUUAAAGCGUGUGUAGGCGGACGUCUAAGUACCUUGUGAAAUCCCACGGCUCACCCGUGGAACUGCUGGGUAUACUGGGCGUCUUGAGCCACCUAGGGGCCAGCGGAACAAAUGGUGGAGCGGUGAAAUGCGUAGAUAUCAUUUGGAACGCCAACGGUGAAAACAGCUGGCUGGGGGUGUGCUGACGCUGAGACACGAAAGCCAGGGGGAGCGAACGGG